AAGGCAUUUCAUACUUGUGUUAGUGUGCACUAGUCUCAUCAAUUUUGCUCUGUUUCAUCAUUCUAGAUUAAUAAAAUUCAGCCUAACAUUUUUAUUUUAUUUUUUCCUAAGACCAUAAAAGGUACUUAUUAGUAGGAGAGAGAUGUUUAUUUAGAGAAAUGCCUGGAAAAGAGAUGCUAAGGAGUAAAUAACUCUGUUUUAACAGAAACUACCAGUUGAACCAUGUUGAACAUAGUGCUGCUCAAAUUUAUGCCACUAAAAGGACACCAAUGCCUACACUAAUGAAAAUGGAGGCAACAUGCCUCUUUUUGUUGUGUUCUAUAAAUAAACCUAAUAUAUCAAUACACAUAUUUAAUACAAAAAUAUUGAGAAAUUAUUCAACAUUUUUGUGUUGUGUGCCUCUGUAUUUAAAGCUGCCCAAAGAGAGAAAUACUAAUUUUGAUCAAUAAUUAAAUUGAUAAAAUAGCAACUUACUUCAAUCUAUUUAAUGAAAUGCUUUAUUUAAUAAGCUGUAUAACUGGCCGGCAGCUGUAUAAAUUUGGCCCGGCCGCUAUCCUGUCCACAUGCAGCCGUCAGCCCAGCACAGCCUCGGUGAUCACCGAAGGGAAGGGAACGAAGGGAAGGGAGGAAGCGGAGUGGGAGCCGCGCAGCAUGGGGCCAGGAGAUCACCGGCUUGGUGGAGAAUGAAGCAGCAAAAUCAGAUGUUUCAUCAUGUAGGGAAGAACCAGAAAAAUGUUCUCCUGAAUGUGAUCAUCUUGUCUUUCAACAGAAAAUGUGCCGAGUCAGAAAUUGCUUUCUGUAUUCCUGACUUGAAAAAAAAAAGUGUGUACCUGUUUUCUCUUCCCUUGUCAAGACAAAAACUUUAUCACACCUGACUGGAUGAAGCCUAAAUAAAUCAGCUGUAUUUUAUGAAUUUUAAAAAUAU
rnacentral:lncRNA from 1 species